GUACUUACCUGGCAGGGGAAAUACCAUGAUCACGAAGGUGGUUUUCUCAGGACGAGGCUUAUCUAUUAUGCUCAGAUGUGCUGGCCCCUGCCAUUUCCCCAUAUGUGGGAAACUUGACCGCAUAUUUUGUGGUAGUUGGGGACUAUGUUCUCAAUCUCCCCCA